rnacentral:rRNA from 1 species
UACGCAGGGGGCUAGCGUUGCUCGGAAUGACUGGGCGUAAAGGGCGCGUAGGCGGAUGGCACAGUCAGAUGUGAAAUUCCCGGGCUUAACCUGGGGGCUGCAUUUGAUACGUGUGAUCUAGAGUGAGGAAGAGGGUCGUGGAAUUCCCAGUGUAGAGGUGAAAUUCGUAGAUAUUGGGAAGAACACCGGUGGCGAAGGCGGCUCACUGGCUCAUUACUGACGCUGAGGCACGAAAGCGUGGGGAGCAAACAGG